GACUUUGUUUGUCCUUUUCUUUACGCCCUCUUUCUUUCUCCAUCCUUGUAUUUAUUCUCAUCUCUAUCCCCUCUUCUUUCCAUUCAUUCUCAUUUCUCCAUUCUCAUCAACCACAAAUCUAUUCUCUCUCCCUCUCCCUCUCCCUCUCCCUCACUCUUCAUUUCACAGUCUCAUAUCAUCAUAUAAUGAUGGCUGGAGAAGAUGAAAGGAAAGCCUGCUCUGAUUGAGGGGAAUGUUGUCUGGCUCGAGGACACUAACUAGAUCCAUUAUUUCUGUGAUUUUUCUCUCUCACUUCGAUCUCCUCCCCGCACAUAAAUCAUCAUGGAUCUAACGUUGGUGUCGUCGGACCAGGCUUCAUUCCCCCCAAUUAUGGCUUCCUUUCCACCCUUUGACUCCAUCUGCUAAAAACCCAGCCAUGGCUACUAGAUCGAUCUCCACAAUCUUUUAUAUAUAUAUAUGUUAUCAGAUCGAUCAAGAAAAGUCAAGUUUUGAUUUUGUUUCGUUUAUGGUACGUGUUUUUUAUAUUUGUUUGGUUUUUGUGGGCAGAAGCAGGUAAAAUGGCGGGGUGGACAAGAGCAGAUUGGUGUAAUGAUGAAGAUCUUUGACUUUUAUACUUUACCCGUCACUGAAAUACAGGAAAGGAAAAUGGAUGGAAGAUGGUUUUAGCAGCAAAAACAUAAACAUUGUUUACUUCUGUGUUGGCUAUGAUAAUGGGCUUUUUUUUGUGUGUACCCAGGAUUUUCACUGUCGAACACAGUAACUAAUUAAUCCUCUUACUGUAUUGUGGGCACCUCUAAUAAUGGGUUGUGGGAUAACAGGCUUGGAGAUUUAAAAUUGCUCCAUACCUAAAGUCAAAGAUCGAACCAUUUACGUAUGGUUAAGGAUGAAGGGGCUUUCUUGAUUUUUGUUUUGUUAGAUUUGUGUGUAGAGGGGAAUGAAUGGCAUCAUAUCAUUUCAAGCUUUUGUAAAGCAAGCCUGUGAUUUUGCAUUGCACCGAAGAAAGGUCAGAGAAUACUCUUUGAAAGGCCUAAAAAAAUGCCAAGACUUGUGUCUUAGAAGCAACAUACAUAAAUUCAUGGACUUUGCACUGAUAAUGGUCACACUUAAACCCUUUUCUCUAAUGUCCCAGAAGGGUCUAUCUUUCGCAACACUGUUUAAUUCAACUUUUCCAUAGAAUGAUGAGAUUCAAAUCUAAAUUUAAACCAAAGUUCUUCAUUGGCUGCAUUGCAGUAGGGAGACAGACAGGAAAGGUUAUGAUUUGUAAAUGAUGUGAGAAGGCAAAUGACGACGUUAGAUGGUACUUGCGCGUUGGUAAAAACUUCAACUUUCAUGGAUUUAUGCAUGAGCGAAUAGGAUUUCACUUGGGAAAUUGAAACUGUACUGUUCUGUAUACUACUGCUCAACCCUACUAAAUUUCUACCAUGUCUUUUUUACUUAGGUAUUUGAUUGGAUGGUUUGACUACUUUAACAUUUGACCUUUGAUUAAUUUAGUAUGUUUCAAAAAGUGUAUAAGAUGUAUCCUGGCAUGGGUAAUUAGAAGUAACCUACUUUUUGCUUCAAUGUAACGCUACCGUACGGUACAAGGUUUCACAGUUGGGUUAAAUUUUUGUAAUC